CAGCGUCACGAGUGGCAUCCAUUAUUAUUGGGCCUAAAGCGUCCGUAGCUGGUUUAGUAAAUCUCCUGUGAAAUCGUUGGGCUUAACCUAACGGCGUGCAGGGGACACUACCAGACUUGGAACCGGGAGGAGUUAGGAGUAUUCUGGGGGGAGCGGUAAAAUGCUAUAAUCCUCGGAAGACUACCUGUGGCGAAGGCGCCUAACCAGAACGGAUUCGACAGUGAGGGACGAAAGCUAGGGGAGCGAACCGGAUUAGAGACCCGAGUAGUCC
rnacentral:rRNA from 1 species